GUGGACGCCAGUCUGCAUGGAGCCGACCUUGAAAUACCACCCUUUAAUGUUUGAUGUUCUAACGUGGACCCGUGAUCCGGGUUGCGGACAGUGUCUGGUGGGUAGUUUGACUGGGGCGGUCUCCUCCUAAAGAGUAACGGAGGAGCACGAAGGUUGGCUAAUCCUGGUCGGACAUCAGGAGGUUAGUGCAAUGGCAUAAGCCAGCUUGACUGCGAGCGUGACGGCGCGAGCAGGUGCGAAAGCAGGUCAUAGUGAUCCGGUGGUUCUGAAUGGAAGGGCCAUCGCUCAACGGAUAAAAGGUACUCCGGGGAUAACAGGCUGAUACCGCCCAAGAGUUCAUAUCGACGGCGGUGUUUGGCACCUCGAUGUCGGCUCAUCACAUCCUGGGGCUGAAGUAGGUCCCAAGGGUAUGGCUGUUCGCCAUUUAAAGUGGUACGCGAGCUGGGUUUAGAACGUCGUGAGACAGUUCGGUCCCUAUCUGCCGUGGGCGCUGGAGAACUGAGGGGGGCUGCUCCUAGUACGAGAGGACCGGAGUGGACGCAUCACUGGUGUUCGGGUUGUCAUGCCAAUGGCACUGCCCGGUAGC
rnacentral:rRNA from 1 species